rnacentral:rRNA from 1 species
GACGAACGCUGGCGGCGUGCUUAACACAUGCAAGUCGAACGGAAAGGCCCUGCUUGCAGGGUACUCGAGUGGCGAACGGGUGAGUAACACGUGGGUGAUCUGCCCUGCACUUCGGGAUAAGCCUGGGAAACUGGGUCUAAUACCGGAUAGGAGCCAUUUUUAGUGUGAUGGUUGGAAAGUUUUUUCGGUGUAGGAUGAGCUCGCGGCCUAUCAGCUUGUUGGUGGGGUAAUGGCCUACCAAGGCGGCGACGGGUAGCCGGCCUGAGAGGGUGGACGGCCACAUUGGGACUGAGAGACGGCCCAGACUCCUACGGGAGGCAGCAGUGGGGAAUAUUGCACAAUGGGCGCAAGCCUGAUGCAGCGACGCCGCGGGGGGGAUGACGGCCUUCGGGUUGUAAACUCCUUUCGCUAGGGACGAAGCUUUUUGUGACGGUACCUAGAGAAGAAGCACCGGCUAACUACGUG